rnacentral:rRNA from 1 species
AAAAAGGUCUUGGAAUAAGAGGUGGGUAAGGACGGUGCCAGCCGCCGCGGUAAUACCGGCGCCUCAAGUGGUAGUCGCUUUUAUUGGGCCUAAAACGUCCGUAGCCGGUCUGAUACAUUCAUGGGUAAAUCAACCAGCUUAACUGGUUGAAUUCUGCGAGGACGGCCAAACUUGGGACCGGGAAAGGUGUGGGGUACUCUCAGGGUAGGGGUAAAAUCCUGUCAUCCUGAGCGGACCACCUGUUGCGAAGGCGCCACACUAGAACGGAUCCGACGGUCAGGGACGAAGCCUAGGGGCACAAACCGGAUUAAAUACCCGGGUAGUCCUAGGUGUAAACGCUGUGGACUUGAUGUUGGGGGUGCUCCGAGCACUCUCAGUGUCGAAGCGAAGGUGAUAAGUCCACUGCCUGGGAAGUACGGUC